rnacentral:lncRNA from 1 species
UUGUUAGAGUGCUCUAAAAAUUCUGGACUUGUGAUAUGUUAUAGUACACUCAAUAAGCUUUCCAUAGACUCCGAAACGGACUAAAUCCGACAUCGGAGGAGCAAGUUAUGGAAUUUCUACCAAACUACACAAAGUUAAGAAAACUGUUAAAAGGACAGAUUUGAACAGUCACUUCCGGGCUAAAUUCCUGGAGCUUAACAUGUCCAAAUAUGGAUUGUGAUAGAUGAAAAUUGUAAUUAGGAAAGAUACGAAUCUGAUAAAAUUGACGGAUCAUUAAUCGGAGUUACAGAUUUCAUUUUAUAUAAGUUUUAGCAAAGGACUCUAAAACUGCCAAAUGACAAAAAGUUGCUGCCCAAAAUUUUCCGGGGACUGUUUCGGAUAUUUAUUUAAUGAGAAAAAUUCCAGGAUUUUGGGAAAUGAAAAUAUAUGGUAUUAUGUAGCUCGUGUCCAAAAAUGAGCUGAUUCCGAGUUAAAACGACCAAGUUAUGACCAUUACAAUUUUUAUGAUUUUCCGACGGAAAUCGCUAUAAACGGAGUUCUACAACUCCGAUUGCCACGAAAUUUAAAAUGGAGUAUCACGUUAACAUAUAUAAGGUUAUGCCAAGAGAUGGGCAUUACUGGAGUUAAGCACGAGGUAGCUAAUUUCUUAAGCUACGCACUAAAAUNNNN